rnacentral:rRNA from 1 species
GACGAACGCUGGCGGCGUGCCUAAUACAUGCAAGUAGAACGCUGAAGCUUGGUGCUUGCACCGAGCGGAUGAGUUGCGAACGGGUGAGUAACGCGUAGGUAACCUGCCUGGUAGCGGGGGAUAACUAUUGGAAACGAUAGCUAAUACCGCAUAACAGUAGAUAUCGCAUGAUAGCUACUUGAAAGGUGCAAAUGCACCACUACCAGAUGGACCUGCGUUGUAUUAGCUAGUUGGUGAGGUAACGGCUCACCAAGGCAACGAUACAUAGCCGACCUGAGAGGGGGAUCGGCCACACUGGGACUGAGACACGGCCCAGACUCCUACGGGAGGCAGCAGUAGGGAAUCUUCGGCAAUGGAAGGAAGUCUGACCGAGCAACGCCGCGUGAGUGAAGAAGGUUUUCGGAUCGUAAAGCUCUGUUGUAAGAGAAGAACGAGUGUGAGAGUGGAAAGUUCACACUGUGACGGUAUCUUACCAGAAAGAGACGGCUAACUACGUG